rnacentral:tRNA from 1 species
GGAGGAUAGGCAGAUAUUGGUUUGUUGCGGCACUCUUGAAAAGUGUUCCGGGUGUACCGGUAAGGGUUCGAUUCCCUUGUCCUCCG